rnacentral:pre_miRNA from 1 species
UUACCCUGUAGAACCGAGCGAGUGUAGCCGGUAACACAGCUCGUUUCUGAGGGUUCAC